rnacentral:lncRNA from 1 species
CUUGCCUACAUAUUUUUUAAAUAAUUGCCACUGGGCGUUAAGAUCAUUGCAUACAAUUAAUCAACAGGUCGUGAUAUUAUCUCUGGCUCGAAAUUCUUGCUAACUCAUGAUAAUCAAGUUUAACAAUAAAGACUUAUGGGGUAUAUGCCAAUGACGGAACAAUCCUUUUAACAGAAACAAAUAACAUGUUUAUCCUUUAAACACUUGAUUCAGGUUUUUUGUAUGCAAGUCAUAACUUGUCUAAGUUUUGUAAAUAUAAUAACGUCACUUCUCAAGUAUCAUGUAUAUAUGUUUUGUGUUAUUACAAUUAGGUAGCUAAUAUCACAUUUCCACCAUCUGAACUUUUUAAUGAUU